rnacentral:rRNA from 1 species
AGUGAACGCUGGCGGCAGGCCUAAUACAUGCAAGUCGAACGGCAGCACAGCAGAGCUUGCUCUGUGGGUGGCGAGUGGCGGACGGGUGAGGAAUACAUGGGAAUCUGCCCAGUCGUGGGGGAUAACGUAUGGAAACGUACGCUAAUACCGCAUGCGCCCUACGGGGGAAAGCCGGGGACCGCAAGGCCUGGCGCGAUUGGAUGAGCCCAUGUUCGAUUAGCUAGUUGGCGGGGUAAAGGCCCACCAAGGCGACGAUCGAUAGCUGGUCUGAGAGGAUGAUCAGCCACACUGGAACUGAGACACGGUCCAGACUCCUACGGGAGGCAGCAGUAGGGAAUAUUGGACAAUGGGGGCAACCCUGAUCCAGCCAUGCCGCGUGAGUGAAGAAGGCCCUCGGGUUGUAAAGCUCUUUUGUCCGGAAAGAAAAGCAUCUGGUUAAUACCCGGGUGUUCUGACGGUACCGGAAGAAUAAGCACCGGCUAA